rnacentral:rRNA from 1 species
ACAAGCGGUGAGUGCUUUGGGGUGGGGUGACUGCGUACCUUUUGUAUAAUGGGUCAGCGACUUAUAUUCUGUAGCAAGGUUAACCGAAUAGGGGAGCCGGAGGGAAACCGAGUCUUAAUUGGGCGUUAAGUUGCAGGGUAUAGACCCGAAACCCGGUGAUCUAGCCAUGGGCAGGUUGAAGGUUGGGUAACACUAACUGGAGGACCGAACCGACUAAUGUUGAAAAAUUAGCGGAUGACCUGUGGCUGGGGGUGAAAGGCCAAUCAAACCGGGAGAUAGCUGGUUCUCCCCGAAAGCUAUUUAGGUAGCGCCUCGUGAAUUCAUCUCCGGGGGUAGAGCACUGUUUCGGCUAGGGGGCCAUCCCGGCUUACCAACCCGAUGCAAACUGCGAAUACCGGAGAAUGUUAUCACGGGAGACACACGGCGGGUGCUAACGUCCGUCGUGAAGAGGGAAACAACCCAGACCGCCAGCUAAGGUCCCAAAGUCAUGGUUAAGUGGGAAACGAUGUGGGAAGGCCCAGACAGCCAGGAUGUUGGCUUAGAAGCAGCCAUCAUUUAAAGAAAGCGUAAUAGCUCACUGGUCGAGUCGGCCUGCGCGGAAGAUGUAACGGGGCUAAACCAUGCACCGAAGCUGCGGCAGCGAACGUAUCACUUAAAGCGAUUCAGCGGGUUACGAUUGACGGAGCGAAGCGACGUCAAAGCGUAUACAAAGUCGAGUCGGUUUAAGGAUACGUUCGUUGGGUAGGGGAGCGUUCUGUAAGCCUGUGAAGGUGUGUCGUGAGGCAUGCUGGAGGUAUCAGAAGUGCGAAUGCUGACAUAAGUAACGAUAAAGCGGGUGAAAAGCCCGCUCGCCGGAAGACCAAGGGUUCCUGUCCAACGUUAAUCGGGGCAGGGUGAGUCGACCCCUAAGGCGAGGCCGAAAGGCGUAGUCGAUGGGAAACGGGUUAAUAUUCCCGUACUUGGUGUUACUGCGAAGGGGGGACGGAGAAGGCUAUGUUGGCCGGGCGACGGUUGUCCCGGUUUAAG